rnacentral:lncRNA from 1 species
GUAAUGUCACAAGUAAAUAGCAUCCAUUUUCUUUAGUUUAUCACCUUUAUAUUCAUGCUGAUUAAUCCUUUGCAGAAGGAGGGAUGUUAGCUAACCCAAUUCCCGUAGAACAAUCAGGAGGUUAGGUAAUUCAUUUUAUUUUGUACACAAUUUGGCUAGAAAGCUGAAGAUUUAUUGAUGCAAUGUAAAAUAUUAGCUGGCAGGUAAAAAUAAGCCUGUUAAUGAAUGUGAUUAGAACAGCAGCUGGAAUGAAUUGCAGUGUUUGCAACAUCAAUGGAAUUAAUAGACCUUAAAAUAUUCAGGGAAUCAAUUAAAAGACUUCUUCAGUAUUCAAAAAAAUGUGUGUUCAUGUGCUUAAUUUUAAAAUGAGCACCGGGAGAAGAAAUGGCCAAACCUUCUGUUGGAAAAGCAUUUAAAGAUUCCAAGGGCGUCUGGCUGUUCCUGGGCCCAGCCAACUACAGCAGGAAACCCUGGUGCGCAGAACGGCAGGCAGGCAUCUUGGAUCACAGGCUGCAGACGGCUUCCAGGAAUUAAACAAGAGGAACACGUGAGAGCAAUUGCAAUGGGUGUCCUGGCCACACGUCCCCAAGGAUCACAACCUCGUUAACCUUAAGGGAGAUCACAGCUACCCACCAGGAUGAAAGAAUUAAAAAAAGGUGAUCAUUUCCAAAGUGUGCUCUUCUCUAAUGGUCACCCCAAAGACCUUGAAAAGUUUCAAGCCUGAAGUUUUGAGCUGAAUCGUCUAGUAUAAAAAGUCCUUGGGAGGAAUUAAUUGGACAGCAUAAUGUAUAAGCUACAGAACAUAGAUGUUAUCUGGCAGUCCCAAAACUAGAUUAAUUAACCUCCACUCCCCCCACUAACAAACAAAUUAAACAGUCUUUAUAAAGCCAGGCCUUUG